rnacentral:rRNA from 1 species
ACGUAGGAGCCAAGCGUUAUCCGAAUUUACUGGGCGUAAAGCGCGUGUAGGCGGUCUGGCAAGUUGGGCAUGAAAGCUCCUGGCUCAACUGGGAGAGGAUGUUCAAUACUGUCAGGCUAGAGGACGGCAGAGGGAGGUGGAAUUCCCGGUGUAGUGGUGAAAUACGUAGAUAUCGGGAGGAACACCAGAGGCGAAGGCGGCCUUCUGGACCGAACCUGACGCUCAGACGCGAAAGCUAGGGGAGCGAACGG